rnacentral:rRNA from 1 species
AGUAAUUUCUUUUAAGUUUUUUAAAUUUUACUUUUUAUUAAAAAGGAUAAAAUAAAUUUUAUAGACAAGAAGACCCUGUGAAACUUUACAUAUAAUAUGUAUAAUACCAUUAUUUAUGUUUUACUGGGGCGGUAAAGAAGAAAACGUUCUUAAUUUUAUAAAUCAUAAAAUUUCAAAAACUGAAAAUUUCAAAAUUAGAAUAAGUUACUCCAGGGAUAACAGCGUUAUUCAUUUUAAAAGCUCUUAUUGACAAAUGAGUUUGCGACCUCGAUGUUGAAUUAAGUAACCUUUAUUAUGAAAAGAUAAUAAAAGGGGGUCUGUUCGACCUUUAAAAACUUCCA